AGUUCGAUCCUCGGCUCGAGACGAACGCUGGCGGCGUGCUUAACACAUGCAAGUGGAGCGACGAACCAGGCUUCGGCCUGGGGCAGAGCCGCGAACGGUGAGUAACACUGGGUAACCUGCCUCGAUGACUGGGACAACCCGGGAAACCCGGGCCGUAAUACCGGAUGUGCUGCUCUCGCAUCAGCGAGAUCAGGAAAGGAAGCUUCGGCCUCCGCAUCGGGAUGGGCCCGCGGCCCAUUAGCUUGUUGGUGAGGUAACGGCUCACCAAGGCUGCGAUGGGUAGCUGGUCUGAGAGGACGAUCAGCCACACUGGGACUGAGACACGGCCCAGACUCCUACGGGAGGCAGCAGUGGGGAAUCUUGCGCAAUGCGCGAAAGCGUGACGCAGCAACGCCGCGUGGGGGAAGACGGCCUUCGGGUUGUAAACCCUUUCAGGAGGGACGAAGCCCGGACGGUGAAUAGCCGAUCCGGGUGACGGUACCUCCAGAAGAAGCCCCGGCUAACUACGUG
rnacentral:rRNA from 1 species